AAAAAGCUUCGAUCGGUUCUGCAUGUUCCUGAUUAUCACCCUCAUGAUGAAUACAUGCAUGCUCCUGGGCUAAGCAUGGUCAUAAUUAAUCUUUAUCAUCAUCGUCACUUGUCACCUUGUUCAAUGCAUGCUAGCUAGCAUCGGCACCAUCAUCAAGCCAUCUCCAUAUAUAUCAUGUGUGUGUGUCAUGGGGAUGAGAGGUGGUGACAUCAAUGCUUAUAUAGAGGGAAGCUUAGAGAUCAAGGUAGUGAGCUCGUUUUGGCACAAGUCAUCCACGAGUGUAGUGCGGAUUAACGGUGCUUGAGUAUAUGCAUGACUGAUCAAUAUAUUCCAAUGACAGGUAUGGUACCACUGCUAUUUGGCAUAGAAAUAAAUUAUCUAUAUAUAAAUUUUUUUAUUGACAUACCAACUACUGUAGAAAUAUCUGUGGUCAUAUCGGCUCUUAAAUAGCUUAACUCUCGGUAUAAAAACAAGGAAACUAUAGUUGACAGUUGAUCAGCAAACGCGUUAGAGCUAGAUGAUAGCUAGCAAGCAAGGCAUGACCCCAAGGGUGGCUAGACUUGAUAGUGUUAGAGCAUCUAAUUUUGGUCUUUUCGGUGCAUGUUGGGCAAAAGACUAAACAAGACCUAAUAAUUAACAUAUAUAAAAUGAUUACACAAUUCAUGCAUAAAAAAUAGAGCAUACUAAUACUAAUUACCACGGUACAUUGCAUCAACCUAUUUCGGAAAAGUAAUACAUUAGAAAAGAGAUUUUAAUGACCAACAUGACAAGAGAUCACUAUGGUAAUUAAGCCGAGGAAAACACUUCUUCAGCAAGAGACUUUCAUACUGCAUACAUAGAUCGUCGACCCUUUAUCUUAGGAGAACUAUUACAACUUUUUAAUUAAAGUUUUAGGACUGGGGAAAACUUAUUAGAUAAUCCGGAAGUACGAAUAACCUAGUACUUCAUUCCUAUCGUAAGAUGUCGUGUCAUUAAAAUUAUUUUUAUAAAUACUAUUAAUUUUUAAUGACACGACAUUGUGAUGGGAUGAAAGUAUCAAGUGAAUUCGUACUCUAAGAUAAGUACUAACUAAUAUACAUGAAUUACUCUAGUACUAGCUAGGAUAAUGACCACAUAUUAAUGAUCGAUCCCAAUUUUGAAAAGCUCAAGCGGCCGGGGCGUAAUCAUAAUCAUCAUCGUCAUCAUCCCCAUCACCCUCCAUGGGGAGAUCA